GCCUGGGUGGCUCAGUUGGUUAAGCAUCUGACUUCAGCUCAGGUCAUGAUCUUAGUUUGUGGGUUCAAGCCCCGCGUCAGACU
rnacentral:tRNA from 1 species